rnacentral:rRNA from 1 species
AGCAGCCGCGGUAAAUUACCAGCUCCAAUAGCGUAUAUUAAAGUUGCUGCAGUUAAAAAGCUCGUAGUUGAAUUUCGGGACCAAUAUGUCGGUCGUGCCUCGGUACGUACUGGCAUCGUUGGUUUCUCCCUUCUGACGAACCAUGAUGUCAUUUAUUUGGUGUCAUGGGGAAUCAGGACUGUUACUUUGAAAAAAUUAGAGUGUUUAAAGCAGGCUCACGCUUGAAUACAUUAGCAUGGAAUAAUGAAAUAGGACGUUUGAUUCUAUUUUGUUGGUUUCUAGGAUCGACGUAAUGAUUAAUAGGGAUAGUUGGGGGCAUUAGUAUUCAAUUGUCAGAGGUGAAAUUCUUGGAUUUAUUGAAGACUAACUACUGCGAAAGCAUUUGCCAAGGAUGUUUUCAUUAAUCAAGAACGAAAGUUAGGGGAUCGAAGGCGAUUAGAUACCGCCCUAGUUCUAACCAUAAACGAUGCCAACCAGCGAUCGGCCUGAGUUACCUACAGAA